UACAGAGGGUGCGAGCGUUAAUCGGAAUUACUGGGCGUAAAGCGCGCGUAGGCGGCUUUGCAAGUCGGGUGUGAAAUCCCCAGGCUUAACCUGGGAACUGCAUUCGAGACUGCAUUGCUAGAGUAUGGGAGAGGGAAGUGGAAUUUCCGGUGUAGCGGUGAAAUGCGUAGAUAUUCGCAAGAACACCAGUGGCGAAGGCGGCUCACUGGCCCGAUACUGACGCUGAGGCACGAAAGCGUGGGGAGCAAACAGG
rnacentral:rRNA from 1 species